rnacentral:rRNA from 1 species
AGAGUUUGAUCAUGGUCUCAGAUUGAACGCUGGCGGCAGGCCUAACACAUGCAAGUCGAGCGGAAACGAGUUAUCUGAACCUUCGGGGGACGAUAACGGCGUCGAGCGGCGGACGGGUGAGUAAUGCCUAGGAAAUUGCCCUGAUGUGGGGGAUAACCAUUGGAAACGAUGGCUAAUACCGCAUAACACCUUCGGGUCAAAGAGGGGGACCUUCGGGCCUCUCGCGUCAGGAUAUGCCUAGGUGGGAUUAGCUAGUUGGUGAGGUAAUGGCUCACCAAGGCGACGAUCCCUAGCUGGUCUGAGAGGAUGAUCAGCCACACUGGAACUGAGACACGGUCCAGACUCCUACGGGAGGCAGCAGUGGGGAAUAUUGCACAAUGGGCGCAAGCCUGAUGCAGCCAUGCCGCGUGUGUGAAGAAGGCCUUCGGGUUGUAAAGCACUUUCAGUCGUGAGGAAGGUAGUGUAGUUAAUAGCUGCAUUAUUUGACGUUAGCGACAGAAGAAGCACCGGCUAACUCCGUGCCAGCAGCCGCGGUAAUACGGAGGGUGCGAGCGUUAAUCGGAAUUACUGGGCGUAAAGCGCAUGCAGGUGGUUUGUUAAGUCAGAUGUGAAAGCCCGGGGCUCAACCUCGGAAUAGCAUUUGAAACUGGCAGACUAGAGUACUGUAGAGGGGGGUAGAAUUUCAGGUGUAGCGGUGAAAUGCGUAGAGAUCUGAAGGAAUACCGGUGGCGAAGGCGGCCCCCUGGACAGAUACUGACACUCAGAUGCGAAAGCGUGGGGAGCAAACAGGAUUAGAUACCCUGGUAGUCCACGCCGUAAACGAUGUCUACUUGGAGGUUGUGGCCUUGAGCCGUGGCUUUCGGAGCUAACGCGUUAAGUAGACCGCCUGGGGAGUACGGUCGCAAGAUUAAAACUCAAAUGAAUUGACGGGGGCCCGCACAAGCGGUGGAGCAUGUGGUUUAAUUCGAUGCAACGCGAAGAACCUUACCUACUCUUGACAUCCAGAGAACUUUCCAGAGAUGGAUUGGUGCCUUCGGGAACUCUGAGACAGGUGCUGCAUGGCUGUCGUCAGCUCGUGUUGUGAAAUGUUGGGUUAAGUCCCGCAACGAGCGCAACCCUUAUCCUUGUUUGCCAGCACUUCGGGUGGGAACUCCAGGGAGACUGCCGGUGAUAAACCGGAGGAAGGUGGGGACGACGUCAAGUCAUCAUGGCCCUU